CGUUUGACUCUGGAUAUCUUAGCAUUC
rnacentral:piRNA from 1 species